rnacentral:rRNA from 1 species
UCCGUAGGUGAACCUGCGGAAGGAUCAUUACCUAGAGUUGUAGGCUUUGCCUGCUAUCUCUUACCCAUGUCUUUUGAGUACCUUCGUUUCCUCGGCGGGUUCGCCCGCCGAUUGGACAAUUUAAACCAUUUGCAGUUGCAAUCAGCGUCUGAAAUAAUUUAAUAAAUUACAACUUUCAACAACGGAUCUCUUGGUUCUGGCAUCGAUGAAGAACGCAGCGAAAUGCGAUAAGUAGUGUGAAUUGCAGAAUUCAGUGAAUCAUCGAAUCUUUGAACGCACAUUGCGCCCCUUGGUAUUCCAUGGGGCAUGCCUGUUCGAGCGUCAUUUGUACCUUCAAGCUCUGCUUGGUGUUGGGUGUUUGUCUCGCCUCUGCGCGUAGACUCGCCUCAAAACAAUUGGCAGCCGGCGUAUUGAUUUCGGAGCGCAGUACAUCUCGCGCUUUGCACUCAUAACGACGACGUCCAAAAGUACAUUUUUACACUCUUGACCUCGGAUCAGGUAGGGAUACCCGCUGAACUUAAGCAUAUCAAUAAGCGGAGGA